GGGCUCCACCCAGUUCGAGCUUCCCAGCUGCUUUGUUUACCUAAUCAAGCCUGGGCAAUGGCGGGCGCCCCUCCCCCAGACUCGCUGACGCCUUGCAGUUUGAUCUCAGACUGCUGUGCUAGCAAUCAGCGAGACUCCGUGGGCGUAGGACCCUCUGAGCCAGGUGCGAGAUAUAAUCUGGUGGUGCACCAUUUUUUAAGCCCGUCGGAAAAGCGCAGUAUUCAGGUGGGAGUGACCCGAUUUUCCAGGUGCCCUCCGUUACCCCUUUCUUUGACUCGGAAAGGGAACUCCCUGACCCCUUGCGCUUCCCAAGUGAGGCAACGCCUCGCCCUGCUUCGGCUCGCGCACGGUGCGCGCACCCACUGACUUGCGCCCACUGUCUGGCACUCCCUAGUGAGAUGAACCCAGUACCUCAGAUGGAAAUGCAGAAAUCACCCGUCUUCUGCGUCGCUCACGCUGGGAGCUGUAGACCGGAGCUGUUCCUAUUCGGCCAUCUUGACUCCUCUCUGCCGGACUUUUCUUUAAGAAAAUCUUCUGCCACUGUUAUAAAAGACAGCAAGAUCAAUCACUCCUCUUCCACAUCCUCUUACUGUGAAGAUAAUAAGGUUGAAGACCUUGAUGAUGAUCUACUUUCACUUGAACAGCAAAUUGGACCAUCUAGUUGCAGGAAAACAAGUUCAGGGCUCCCACUGAUUCUACAUUAUGGUGAGUUGUAUAAUUACUUCCUUGUAUAUGACAAUGUAAUAAUAAUAGAAAUAGAGUGUGCAAUAAAUGUAAUGAGCUUUAAUCAUACUGGAACAAUCCCUCCGCUCCCCUCCACCCAGUCCAUGGAAAAAUUGUCUUCCAUAAAACCAGUCCCUG
rnacentral:lncRNA from 10 species